AAAUGCACAUGCUGUGAGCUCGAUGAGUAGGGCGGGACACGUGGUAUCCUGUCUGAAUAUGGGGGGACCAUCCUCCAAGGCUAAAUACUCCUGACUGACCGAUAGUGAACCAGUACCGUGAGGGAAAGGCGAAAAGAACCCCGGCGAGGGGAGUGAAAAAGAACCUGAAACCGUGUACGUACAAGCAGUGGGAGCACGCUUAGGCGUGUGACUGCGUACCUUUUGUAUAAUGGGUCAGCGACUUAUAUUCUGUAGCAAGGUUAACCGAAUAGGGGAGCCGAAGGGAAACCGAGUCUUAACUGGGCGUUAAGUUGCAGGGUAUAGACCCGAAACCCGGUGAUCUAGCCAUGGGCAGGUUGAAGGUUGGGUAACACUAACUGGAGGACCGAACCGACUAAUGUUGAAAAAUUAGCGGAUGACUUGUGGCUGGGGGUGAAAGGCCAAUCAAACCGGGAGAUAGCUGGUUCUCCCCGAAAGCUAUUUAGGUAGCGCCUCGUGAAUUCAUCUCCGGGGGUAGAGCACUGUUUCGGCAAGGGGGUCAUCCCGACUUACCAACCCGAUGCAAACUGCGAAUACCGGAGAAUGUUAUCACGGGAGACACACGGCGGGUGCUAACGUCCGUCGUGAAGAGGGAAACAACCCAGACCGCCAGCUAAGGUCCCAAAGUCAUGGUUAAGUGGGAAACGAUGUGGGAAGGCCCAGACAGCCAGGAUGUUGGCUUAGAAGCAGCCAUCAUUUAAAGAAAGCGUAAUAGCUCACUGGUCGAGUCGGCCUGCGCGGAAGAUGUAACGGGGCUAAACCAUGCACCGAAGCUGCGGCAGCGACGCUGAUGCGUUGUUGGGUAGGGGAGCGUUCUGUAAGCCUG
rnacentral:rRNA from 1 species